AAAUAAGAUGUAAUUCUGAGUAGCUGAUAAACAAGAGGUAAUGUGUCAACAUGUUAAUUGCAUGGAAGUCUCAGAACAAGAUGUUCUAGCCUUCCACUGUGCCUUUGCUGGAUAGAUCAUUUGCAUUUAUUUAAGGAAAAAUCAGUCAUGGCAAUAAUACUGUUCUAUUUUUAAAGCUGGAAUCUAAGGGAAAUAUUUUAAGGUUUCAGAGUGACAACUUUUAGUGCCGUAGGAAGUUCUAGCGAGUGUUCUGAAGUCACUGUAUUUUUUAGGACAGCUUAUGCUUUGCAUGUCUUGUUCCAGCUUUGUAAAUCAUGUCAUCCAGCCGUUUUCAUGGCAAUGAGCAUUUGAUUUAGUGAUGACAUUCUACGACUUUCAUUUGCAGAUGGUGCCCACCUCUACAGACAAGGCGCCCAUCGCCUGUAGAGGUGGUUUCAAGAGGCAUGAGGUGUCAAGCUUGUAACUUGGGUUGAUAGUGGGAGGUCCAGAUUUAGGCUGGCGGCAUGUCUGACGGGCUGGGGUUUAGUUUAGAUGCCUUCAUAUUUAUGCUGCCUCAGUCAAAUGCUUUGCAUGAGUGGGCAAACUAUUAGAAAAUGAGUAGUAAGGAAGUAAUCCAGAACAGAUGGAGGGGUAGCCAAAACGAUUGAAAGGGCUCUUUCUUCCCUCAGUUUCAAUUUUCUCUGUGAAAUUAGAUAACUGUAACCUUUUUGCUCUUUUAAAGAACCAAACUUUUUUCUUUCUUAAGGUGAAGUACCAACAAUGCUUUUUGAAACAGGUUUUGGUUUUUACCUAGAGGUUCAGAGUUUUGUGUGAAAUCUGUAUUGCUCAGUUGCAUCAAACCUGUUGUAUGCAUUUGCCUUCAAUACCUGCUAAAAGCUUCAUGUUUUUCAUCUUCUCAGGAAACUUCACUGAACCAUACUGCUGUUUUACCAGCAGACUUUCCAAAACUUUCAUAUGAGCUGAAUGCCUUCAAAUUCAAGAGGUAACAAUCUGUGGAUGAAGUCAGCAGCAACUUGUUCUGUAAACCACGCCAGCGGUACCUGAAGUUCCUUGGGUUACUGCACCUGGAGAUGGCUGUGCCCCCAAACUACUGAAAGCUUUACAGCACAAAAUAAAUCUUAGCAUUCUGCAUGGAAACUAAAAUGUAGCUGCUGUAUAUAUCUCAGUAGGGCCUUAACAUUCUGUCUUUUUUAUUUCCACGUCUCAGUUGUUGCAAGCCAAGCAGCAGUUAAUUUUUGUGUUUUUUCCCCACGUAUUCUUAGAGGAUUCCUUCAAAGAGUUCACUUUUGUAGCAACAGAGAUACAGCUGGACUAGGCCACAAUCAUCUUUGCAUCUGAAACAAAGGAGGUACUUGUUCCAGCUGAAAUGUGACUGGUUCUUAAUCAAAGGCUGGGAGUAGACAGUUAGUAAGAUGUUUGUAAACCUAUGCGUAAACUAGUUGUGCUUUCUUUAGUAGGAUAACAAUUUAUUUGCUUUGCAGUCAUCUUUUUUUAAUUGUCAGUAGCUAAAUUAGAGUUGGGAGCUGUAUGUCAGACAGUGAAACAUGCAGCCAGUGGCAUGCUGGGCAGAUGGGGAGAAAAAGGAAACAUCUAGAGCAGAUCUCUGAAGAGGUGGUGGUUAGAUGGCUGUGGGAGGGCACAGAUGAGCCUUCAGGGCAGAGGAUGGAAGAUCUGUGCUAGCAGAAUGACAGUCACAUUUCAGAGAGUGCCUGUAAGAGGAAAGAUACAAAUAUAAAGAGAAUGAAUUGCUGUGACUUUGGCAGUAGUGCAAAAAAUGGGAAGGAAGAGCUUAAGAAAAUGAAUUGGAGCAAGGCAAGUGCAUUCCGAGCCAGCAGAGUGAUGAUGAAAUGAGGGAAGUGAACAAA